GACGAACGCUGACGGCGUGCCUAAUACAUGCAAGUAGAACGCAGUUGCGAAAGGGUGAGUAACGCGUAGGUAACUGCCUGGUAGCGGGGGAUAACUAUUGGAAACGAUAGCUAAUACCGCAUACUACCAGAUGGACCUGCGUUGUAUUAGCUAGUUGGUGGAGUAACGGCACACCAAGGCAAAGAUACAUAGCCGACCGAAAGAGGUGAUACGCCACACUGGGACGGAGACACGGCCCAGACUCCGACGGGAUGCAGCAAGAGGGAAUCUUCGGAAAUGGGGCGAACCCUGACCGAGCAACGCCGCGUGAGUGAAGAAUGUUUUCGGAUCGUAAAGCUCUGUUGUUAAGGAAGCGGUACUUAAACAGAAAGGGACGGCUAACUACGUGCCAGCAGCCGCGGUAAUAC
rnacentral:rRNA from 1 species